UACGAAGGGGGCUAGCGUUGUUCGGAAUUACUGGGCGUAACGCGCGUGUAGGCGGGUCUUUACGUCAGGGGUGAAAUGCCAAGGCUCAACCUUGGAACUGCCUUUGAUACUGGAGACCUUGAGUCCGGGAGAGGUGAGUGGAAUUGCGAGUGUAGAGGUGAAAUUCGUAGAUAUUCGCAAGAACACCAGUGGCGAAGGCGGCUCACUGGCCCGGAACUGACGCUGAGACGCGAAAGCGUGGGGAGCAAACAGG
rnacentral:rRNA from 1 species